rnacentral:rRNA from 1 species
UACGGAGGGUGCAAGCGUUGUUCGGAAUCAUUGGGCGUAAAGCGCGUGUAGGCGGCUUGGCAAGUCAGUUGUGAAAGCCCGGGGCCCAACCCCGGAAUUGCAUCUGAAACUGCCUGGCUGGAGUCCCGGAGAGGAAGGCAGAAUUCCCGGUGUAGGGGUGAAAUCCGUAGAUAUCGGGAGGAAUACCAGCGGCGAAGGCGGCCUUCUGGACGGUGACUGACGCUGAGACGCGAAAGCGUGGGGAGCAAACAGG